UACGUAGGGUGCAAGCGUUAAUCGGAAUUACUGGGCGUAAAGCGUGCGCAGGCGGUGAUGUAAGACAGAUGUGAAAUCCCCGGGCUCAACCUGGGAACUGCAUUUGUGACUGCAUCGCUGGAGUGCGGCAGAGGGGGAUGGAAUUCCGCGUGUAGCAGUGAAAUGCGUAGAUAUGCGGAGGAACACCGAUGGCGAAGGCAAUCCCCUGGGCCUGCACUGACGCUCAUGCACGAAAGCGUGGGGAGCGAACAGG
rnacentral:rRNA from 1 species